rnacentral:rRNA from 1 species
UACGUAGGGGGCAAGCGUUGUCCGGAAUCAUUGGGCGUAAAGAGCGUGUAGGCGGCUCGGUAAGUCCGUUCUGAAAGUCCAGGGCUCAACCCUGGGAUGCGGAUGGAUACUGCCGGGCUAGAGUCCGGAAGAGGCGAGUGGAAUUCCUGGUGUAGCGGUGGAAUGCGCAGAUAUCAGGAGGAACACCAAUAGCGAAGGCAGCUCGCUGGGACGGUACUGACGCUGAGACGCGAAAGCUAGGGGAGCGAACAGG